rnacentral:rRNA from 1 species
UACGAAGGGGGCGAGCGUUGUUCGGAAUUACUGGGCGUAAGGGGCGCGCAGGCGGCUCUGAAAGUCAGAUGUGAAAGCCCCGGGCUUAACCUGGGAAUUGCAUUUGAUACUCUGGAGCUUGAGUACGGGAGAGGAGAGUGGAAUUCCCAGUGUAGAGGUGAAAUUCGUAGAUAUUGGGAAGAACACCGGUGGCGAAGGCGGCUCUCUGGACCGUAACUGACGCUGAGGCGCGAAAGCGUGGGGAGCAAACAGG